ACUGUAGAUUGUCUUUUUUUUACAGAUAGUUGAGCACUGGGAUCUACACUCUGUUCUUCUGACUCUUCAAACAGAUGGCCACUUUCUGUGAGGCUGCAUGUCAUACAAACCUCUAGUUGUACAACCAGGUGAAGACAAUGUAAGGUCACAUGAUUAUAUGGAGAGGAUUGCUGCUUUCUGCAAGACACAGUCAGAUGGAGAUGUUGAAGAAAAAUGUCCAAAGAGAACUUCAUGGGGUGCAUCUGAAAGCACCUCUUCAAGAUCAUGGCAAUUUCAGGUAUACAAAUGUAGGCAGUGCCGGACGCCUGGAGUGUGCUGAUGUCCAAUCAAGUGUUCAUCCAACCCAGACAUGGAGCAGGUGGUGAUCCUCACCCUGUCUGGCAGGGAUGUCCAUCAAGGCCUGGACCUGCUACACAUGCUCCUGAAAGGCGAUGCAGCUGAUACUUUACUCACACUACCAAUUCUCAAACCACAUUAUACUGUUAUUCUACCUGCUGUUCAGCCAUCGUUCUGACUCACAAAUGACCCUGACUUGACUUCCUCACUGCUCGGUUUCUCAGGCGAUGUCAGGGACGAUGGAUUUGAGCUGCUGGCUCUGAAAGGGCUAACCACGCUGUCAAGUCGGCAGGCGCGGGACGUCAACCCCUGUGAGGUUGAUGAUUACAGCUUACAGCUCGUAGAGAAAAGAAAAUCCAGUAUCCCAAAAUAUUAGAAUAAAAAAUGUAUCAUACGUUGUUCGUUCAGUUAUUCUGUGCCGUUGUGCUUUCCAACCGGAGUGCUCUGAACUGGAAAUAGAUUUGCCCGAGUAAAUUUGUAAAUGUACUCCUGUCUCUACCAGGCCAGUGUAUAGAUUGUUUUAAAUGCUGCAUUUUUAGCGCCUUUUCCCUGUUUUUCCCUAGGAUGUCUCUAAUCUGGAGGCCUGUGUCUGGUAGAUGUGGGCCCUCAAUUGGCUCUUGGCUUGCAGAUAACACUGUGAAGAGGCUACUAGACUUGCUGGGUCCUGAGGACCCUGCCCAUGCGCAGAACCAGUUUCUCUGAAGAGCAUGUUACCAAUCUGACCAGCUACACUGUGGUAUGUAUGGUCAAGUGAGUGCCCUCGACCCAGCACCACACUGGGCCAUCUUCCAGGCCCUGCCAACAACACGGAUCAAUGAAUUACAGAGUGGCUGAGACUGGCUUCGGAAGAAGAUUUUAUCAUGUUUUGGAGAUGUAAAUAGCUCAUAAUUAUUUACUUCUGCGGUGUAAGAUCGAGGAGCUAUCAGAGAGCUGGUCAGGAUGUGAAACGGUUGUUCCCUGAGGGUUUAUGCUGCAAAAAGACCAUGAGAGAGGAGCAGCUGCUUCACAGACAAUACCUUGUCUCAUUUGCUUUCUGCUUAUUUAGAAAUAACUGUCUGUGUGACUUACUGUUCUAUAAGACAGAUACCAAGUGUACGAGCAGAUCCUUUGGCAUAUUUGAUCGGUGAACAGACCUUUCUUUCGCAAGCAAAUGUAAGCCACUUUUAUCAUAACUGGAUUGAAUUAAGGUGAGGACUAGCACCUGUUUAACAUUGUAGUCUUCCUGAGUUUUUAAAUGGCUUAUUCCCUACUUUUAUAUUGAUACAAAACACCCCCUAAACAUUGACUUUUUAUUAGGACAAUGCCGAUUGGUGUGGGGCAGCUGUUGCUGAGCUUUGAACUUUGUAAAUGUGGCUGUUUGUGUGGGUGGCAACAGGGCCCUUGGUCCACAGUGCUCUCUGCCAGACCACCUGCCUGCUGCUGCCUUCCAAUGUGCUGCAUCUUUGCCCUGCCCUG